UACGGAGGGUGCAAGCGUUAUCCGGAUUCACUGGGUUUAAAGGGUGCGUAGGUGGGUUGGUAAGUCAGUGGUGAAAUCCCCGAGCUUAACUUGGGAACUGCCAUUGAUACUAUCAGUCUUGAAUACCGUGGAGGUCAGCGGAAUAUGUCAUGUAGCGGUGAAAUGCUUAGAUAUGACAUAGAACACCAAUUGCGAAGGCAGCUGGCUACACGGAUAUUGACACUGAGGCACGAAAGCGUGGGGAGCGAACAGG
rnacentral:rRNA from 1 species